AUUCAAUGAAUCUAUCUGUCAAU
rnacentral:miRNA from 1 species